CAGCAUGGAAUUUCCUUAAAGGAUUAAAGGACAGUGGCCAUUUAAAACAGCACCCUCAGUUCUAAUUCAUAUGUAAUUCUUUAUUUCUGAAAGCUACAAAUAUGGGCUUGAUGUCCCAUUUUACUGGAAACCAAUAGAACGGGUAUGGAUUUAAACAUCAAAAAUCCAAAAUAAAAAUAGGUGCGCUGUACCUUUAAAUAUUAAAAAGUGCAAAUAGUGCAAUAAUUAGUGCAAAUAUUUUGUGCAAAAACACAGAGUGUGUAUACAAUAUAAUCACAUUCAAUGUGACAUAAGUGCAAAAUGCAAAUGUGAUAGUGUAAAAAUUCAAUAUCCAAAACAAAUAACUUACAAGGGAAAUGUAUAUCUCCUUAAAUUCUCCAAAUCACAUAAGAACAUACGUAAAAAGAAAUAUAAAAUGGAGAAACAUAGUAUAAUAUUGUUUACAUAAAUAUAAAAACCAGCAAAUAAAAUUAGGAAUAUCACUCACAAAAAAAGAGCAGUAAAAGCCUGCUCUAACUGAUCCAGCUUUAAAUCCAAAAACCAGGACUUCAAUGUUGGUGCAAAUAGGCAGGACACCAGCUUCCAAAAAUAAAACAGCUUUAUUGAAAGUAAAUAAAAUCCACACUCUCCGUUUCCAUAUAGCAGCCUAAUAUCCUUUUGCCAGUACUGUAUAGUAAAUAUCUACCAGUCCCUGGUGACUUUCGGUACUGUAGGCUUCACUUCCUGGAACUCGGAGUUUCGUCCAGUCACGUGAUGGCGUGAUGACGUAAUCGACGUGAUGACGCGUUUCGCCCCAAUCGGCUUCCUCAGAUCACGGUGAUCUCAGAUAUUAGGCUGCUAUAUGGAAACGGAGAGUGUGGAUUUUAUUUACUUUCAAUAAAGCUGUUUUAUUUUUGGAAGCUGGUGUCCUGCCUAUUUGCACCAACAUUGAAGUCCUGGUUUUUGGAUUUAAAGCUGGAUCAGUUAGAGCAGGCUUUUACUGCUCUUUUUUUGUGAGUGAUAUUCCUAAUUUUAUUUGCUGGUUUUUAUAUUUAUGUAAACAAUAUUAUACUAUGUUUCUCCAUUUUAUAUCUCUUUUUACAUAUGUUCUUAUGUGAUUUGGAGAAUUUAAGGAGAUAUACAUUUCCCUUGUAAGUUAUUUGUUUUGGAUAUUGAAUUUUUACACUAUCACAUUUGCAUUUUGCACUUAUGUUGAAUGUGAUUAUAUUGUAUACACACUCUGUGUUUUUGCACAAAAUAUUUGCACAAAUUUUUGCACUAUUUGCACUUUUAAUAUUUAAAGGUACAGCGCACCUAUUUUUAUUUUGGAUUUUAUGUAUGGUGUUUUAUGAGCUUGUACACUUUUAGGUGCUGCUACACUUUUAUUAUCUUUAUAUUUUACAUUAGCACUUUCAGCGCCUUUAUUGCUUGUUUGUUUUUUAGUUAUGGAUUUAAACAUGGCACACCCUGAGAGUCCAUCAUCUGAAACCCUCUGCUGCAUGUUAGGAGUUAUGUCUUCCAGCAAUCACCUGACCCAUAAGGAAUAUUUGGGUCUAAUAUUAGAUAGAAGGGGUGAAUGUAUUUCUGAUUAAUCUUCUUUCAGAAAAUGUAUAAAGCCGGGUUGUAUUAAACUAAUUCCUGCCCUGGAUAUUCCUGAUUUAAAAAAGAUUGUCCAGCCUCCAUCUGCUAGCGGACACAUUAUAUCUUCCAUCACCAAAAUAAUUAUUUUGAAACAAGCAAUACUAAAAACAAUUACAUAAAGAAUUACUGUAAAUACAAUAAACUAGCAGAAAUGGUGCAACGAGUAUUUGGGUCCAGUCCCUUUUGUUGUGUUUUUGAGCAGUUUGACCAACCCGAAGGUUCUACCCAGGGCAUUGCUGAUACCCGCAACUGCCCUCAAGAUACUAAAGAAUUUCCCCUUAAGACUCAUUGCACCAUAUCCU